rnacentral:lncRNA from 1 species
CUCAGAAUGUGGCCUUAUUUGGAAAAAGGGUCUUUGCAGGUGUCAUUAGUUAAUUGAAGGGUGGACCCCAAAUCCAAGGACUGGUGUCCUCCCAAAAAGAGCAUCCCCGGGACGCUGGGGAGCAGCCGUGAGCAGACGGUGUCUCACUUGCUGGCGACGCCCCAGUUAGAGAGAGGGACUGUCCCAGAACCUCUGGGGGCAUGGCUUUGAUCGAUGACACUUGCCCUGGCAGCUGUGAGAGGACACAUCUCUGUGGUCGUAACCACCAAGCCGCUAAUCAGCGUUCACUCCACGGCCGUGCGGGGUCAACUGUCCUUUGAUGGCUCGCACAGAUUCUGCCCCUGGGGCCAUGUGUCCCCGGACUGGGCCAUGGGGGCCAGGGCUGUUGUGAGGCAGGUUGGAUGUGAUGGGCAGUGGCAGGACCUUCAUUUGGGUGGGGACGCCUGUGCUUCCUGGUCACAGCCUGGAGAUGGGGCGUGCAGACCCAGCCUGGAGAGACACUGUUGAAGCAGCAUGUUUUCCGAAGACGCUGGAAGCCUGUAAGGCUGUCGGCUCCACUGGGGGUGUCCACUGUGCGUCAGGAGCGGGCUCUCGGUGGUGUUCCUACGAGCCAGGUUGAGAGAAACAGCUGGAAGAACGGCCUCCACGUUCCGGGGCGUAGAGUCGCGUGACCAUCUGAAGAUGAGCCUCCCUUUUCUAGCUCGGUGAUGGAUUUGCUAUGGACUCUGAGCGGUAACAUCACGUGGUCUCCAUGGUCUCUGGGCUUCUGUGCGGACCUGGGAAGCCAGGUCUCACUGUGGUCCCACGACACCUGCUGUCCGUCCCCAACUCUGGCUCAAAUAGAAAAUGUGACCGAAACCGUUUCUCAGCUGGAGUGCGUGAAGAUCAAUCUUGACGUCUGGAGCGCAGUCAGAACAGAACACACGCCGUGGCCCCCGCUCGCUCGCUGGGGGCCCAGAGAGGGGCGGCGGAUCCUGGCCCCCAGGCGGGCGGGACACCUGUCAGCACUGUUCCCUGAGUCACGAGCCGGGUGCCACGGACAGCUUGCCCUUCCCUCGAAGUUCUGUGAUGUCCCUUAAAGGUGUGGUUGGAUUCUCUGUGUCCAAGCCUGGUGUUAAAAAUUCCCCUCAGCACAGCAUGUGUUUUCAAAAACGUCAGCUUCCAAUGAUCUGUCGCUGGUGUAUGGAAAUGAGAUCACGUUUUGUGCAUUGCUCUUGAAUCCUGGGACCUUGAUACAUGUAUGCUUCUUUUGUUUUAGCCUUGAAAGACACUUUUAGGAUUUUCUAAUAUAGUGUCUUUUUCAAAUAAAGUUCUACUUCUUUCUUUACUUUCUUUCCA